CUCCGUGCCAGCAGCCGCGGUAAUACGGAGGGUGCAAGCGUUAAUCGGAAUUACUGGGCGUAAAGCGCACGCAGGCGGUUUGUUAAGUCAGAUGUGAAAUCCCCGGGCUCAACCUGGGAACUGCAUCUGAUACUGGCAAGCUUGAGUCUCGUAGAGGGGGGUAGAAUUCCAGGUGUAGCGGUGAAAUGCGUAGAGAUCUGGAGGAAUACCGGUGGCGAAGGCGGCCCCCUGGACGAAGACUGACGCUCAGGUGCGAAAGCGUGGGGAGCAAACAGGAU
rnacentral:rRNA from 1 species